rnacentral:lncRNA from 1 species
CCCUCUAUCCCGCCUCAUUGACCCCUGGACAACCCUGAAAUAUCAUCGUCAGCAUUAUUUCAUCGGAAAGAAGGGCAGCAAGAGAGGCCGGAUGAUUCUCCCAAGGCCACACAGCUAAUUAGUGGGCAGAGCCCAGUCUAGAAGCCAUCUCACCAUCUGACACCUUUCGACAAAGUGCAAAACGCGGUGGUGAGAGACGAGGACACAGACAUUAAGAUUCCGCUCCAGCCCUAGAGGCACUGAGAAUCAGAACGUGAACUACUCUUCACUCCAGGCAGAAAGCAAGAGGCUUGGAUGAGUUUUAGGAAACCAGCACAGUGUCGGGCACAGAGCGCUCAAUGAAUAGAUGUGUAACAACAAAGUAGGGAUCCAACAGAGGAAGAAAUAAUUUAUUGUAAGGUGGCCUUUGGGAAAGCUCUCAGAAAGGUGGAUGAAUCACUUAAGAGGUAAGGAAGGGGGAGGUGAGGACAGGGGAGAGACUGCAGAAAUAGGCCUUGCAAAAAUCCAGAGGAUGGAAGAGCUUGAUGUGUUCAAGAGAGAGAGCUGCCAGGCGUUGCAGGGGGCCUAGGAUUUGAUAGGAGUUGAGGUUGGCCAGGCUGGGUGAGUCUGAACUCAGGAGGUCCUUGAAUGCCGGGGCAGAGUUGUUGAGGAGUCUGCUUCCUGCUGGCACUGCUGGACACCAUGGCUACUCCGAAGACCCACAUAGGGUCCAGCCUCUAAAUGAAGCCAUCUGGGGAAUCAGGCAAACUGAAGUCACAGCAUCAUGCCCCCCCACAAGCAUCCCAUGAGCACCACCCUGACAGAUAGAAGUAAAAUCAGGUGGCUUUUCUCCAUUUCUCCAGCACUCGAGACUGAACCGCACAUAUAAUAGAUGCUCAAUACAUUUCUGUUGAGGUGAAGAAACCCUAGUUGGGUUUUUGCUGAGGAAAACCCAGGGUCAUUACUGCAAUACGAUAUCCUCACUCAGAAGACUAAUUACGAUGACACUUAGACAAGUCCAAAAGUGACCCACGCAGGAAUGGGACCUAGAAAGAAGAGAAUGCACAAAGAGGGCCUCACAAAGGGUCUACACAAGUAGCAGGGAAUUUCAGGCAUAAGGUGUGGCAGUCACAACAGGGGCAGGAGUCUGGAGACGCCAGAUGCUCUCCCAGGUCUCUCUCCCCUGGGGAGUUUAAUAAGACUGCGCCAGGGGCCAGGGCUUGUUUGCAUAGAUGGAGAAAACCACUGCCAAACCUCCAUCUGGUUUCCGCAGGAAUCAUGGGGCAGAUCCAGCGGUGCCAUUUGUGGGAGGCCAGGAAAGACCUUGCUCCUUGGGAAUCAGGCUCCACAGGCCUCUCAGGUCAACCAAGAAAAUGAAUGGACUCCAGCAGCAUCACAGAAUCAAAGCAACACCUAAGGAAUUCACUGUUUCUUCACAUACUUUGAACUGUGAAAACAAGAGUCAUCAUAAUAGCUGCAGUUUACUCAGUACCUACCAGGUACUGUCACCUAUACUGUCUCUAAAGCCCCUACAACCCUGAGCUAAGGAUGAUCAUAUCCCCAACUGCAGAUGAUGACACUGAAGCUCAACGGCUACUCAACUUGCCUGGAAUCCUACAGCAAUUAACAAAAACCAGCAUCACGCUCAAGGUUUUGUGAACUUAUCAGUUCCCUUAUUUCAACUCCUGGUCCUGUUGGAAAAAGUGACAGUUGGGAGGCAGAACUGCGCAUGGUAGCCCAGAGCUCUUACCAUCUGAGCCACGUGCCCAUUCAUUUCUCAUUUCAGAAUACUGCAUUGUGUCACAAGAAUUCAACUAUGUACUCAUGGAGAAGGAGGGAGAAAGCAAGGAAGGAAAAAAGAGAAAAGUAAUUUACAUAGUAACAGCAAUUCUGCUCAACAUUCCAUUCAGUGAGCCGAUACCCUGGAGUGCAGAAACUGUUAUGAAUGUACUCCACCAAGGCAAGAAAGGAAGAAGACAUGGAAUUUAAAAAACAGAGGAUCUACUAUGAAAGAGAAAGGUGAAGGGAAUUCCAGGCUGAUGGUAAAUGCAAAUUCCAGGAUGAGAGUUGGGCAGCAGGCCUAGAGUGCACUCCGUCCUGGGAGGAGCCAGAUGAUAGAGGGCUCUAGGAGAGAAGGCUCCAAGGGAAAAUGAAACAAGAGGAGGAGAAGAAACAGGCUUACGCUGAGCGAAUCCAAUGUGCAGACAGACACACAGGGAAGGUGACCAUUUGAAGACGGAGGCAGAAACUGAAGUUGUGCAACUGCAAACCAAGAAAUGCCAUGGAUUGCCAACAACCACCAGGAACUAGAAGAGGCAAGGUAAGGUUCAGCAAAGUCUAUGUCAUUCUCUAAUCCUUUUGAUCCAGCGGAUUCUUUGGAGGAAUUUGAAUACAUAUUGGAUUUUGCAUCCAGGUUUGCAAGAGGAAAAUACAAAGGUGACUUCUGGGCCUGCUGGAGGUGGAGGGUAGAGGAUGGACAGCUGACAUCUAGUCACAGAGGAAAGAACACAGAAAGAGAUCUCCAGUUAAAGCUGAUAGAUUGAACCACAGACAACCCACCUCCUUCUAAAAUCCCUCUAGAACAAUGGUUUAAAAAAAGUGCUUUAACAUAAAACUUCAAAAUCAAAAAGAUAAGGAAAAUGAUGAAAACCACUCAGAUAAGAAGAGAGGAUAUUUAUGCAGAGGCUGCUGUCGUUGGGAGUCCGCCACCAUACCACUAUACUUUGGUGAGACUUGAAGGCAGGCAGGGAGUGGAAACACUUUAUGCUGUAGUGAAAAAAGGGGAAGGCUUCGGUAUGCUCUGACUGGAGAUCAUUGUCAUGGGGAAACUGCAGGUGGGCUAACUAGAGGCUGGGCUUCUUGUGUAAUGGUUUGGCUUUCUCUGGUUGGUCCUGUGUUGAAAAUAGGGGCAAAAUAUAGGGAAGCUGACUCAUUGACCAAGCCCUGCCCAGGCUGGCCAAUUGCAGAGGUUGUGGGUCAGAGUUCUAUUGUCAUAUAUGGUCUGGCUACUGUCUGUUUAUAUAAUCCGUCUCUCAGAGAACAGUAGAGGAGAUCAAAUUAUUAACAUUUUGGAAGCUGGAAAGCAGGAGGAUAGUGUGAGCUGAAUUAGCAGACUUGCCAUCUAUCAAAGGGGAUAGCCAAAAGCAAGCCAGAUUUGCCCCAGAGAACCACCAAAGGUUCAAGAAUUGGCAGCACCAGGUACCCCCAGAAGCAGGGAUAAAGUGGGGGCUGAAAUUGGACAGUUGGUUCAAAGUCUAUUUCAGAAGCAUUAGACCACUGGAUUUCUUCCCCAGCUCCCAAAUGACUGCCUGGUGCAAAAGACUCAGGAUUGAUUCCCUGGAGAGGGUAGGUAGUUCUUUGUCUAGUUAAGGAUGGGAUGCCAUAACAAACAUGCCAAUUCAGUGAAAGUACCUACUUUCAAGACUCCUGCUUAACUCCCCUAAAUCAGCAGCCAAUGUUAGAAGCCAAGUGUUAAAGUUUUUCAGAUAAUUUUGCUAUAAGCCUAUGGAGAAAUUUCAUUACCAUCUCAUAGCAAGGCCUAUAGUAUAAGAGCAGGCCUAUAGUAGCAUAUGGGGGAAAGUCUAAAAGACUUUGAAAUGGACCAAAAGAUUAUUGAGAAAUGGAAAACUGCAUUGUUUUAAGUAUCCCUUUCCAACUUAUCAGAUUCUGUGGGGUUUAUACCUUUCAUUGUCUUUGAGGUAUUUAACAAUUCUAAAGAGAUAGACUCUAACUUGUAGAAAACUAAGAGUAACAUAAAUAAUUAUCGUCUUUAGAUAUACAAAUAAAUUCUGUUCUGAGAA